GAUGAACGCUGCCAGAAUGCUUAACACAUGCAAGUCAACUGUGGCGGACGGGUGAGUAACGCGUAAAGAACUUGCCUCACAGUUAGGGACAACCUUUGGAAACGAAUGCUAAUACCUGAUACUGUGAGAGAGCUUUGCGUCCCAUUAGCUCGUUGGAGGGGUAACGGCUCACCAAGGCGAGGCUGGGUAGCCGGCCUGAGAGGGUGAUCGGCCACAAGGGGACGGAGACACGGCCCUUACUCCUACGGGGGGCAUGAGUGGGGAAUAUUGGACAAUGGACCAAAGUCUGAUCCAGAAAUUCUGUGUGCACGAUUAAGUUUUCGGAAUGUAAAGUGCUUUGAGUUGGGGAGCGGUACCAGCAGAAGAAGUGACGGCUAAAUACGUGCCAGCAGCCGCGGUAAUAC
rnacentral:rRNA from 1 species